CUGGCUCAGGACGAACGCUGGCGGCGUGCUUAACACAUGCAAGUCGAACGAGACGAUUGAAAGCUUGCUUUUGAGAGUCGAGUGGCAAACGGGUGAGUAACG
rnacentral:rRNA from 1 species